ACACCUCAACUCUCAUGGCUCGCCAUGAUGAGCUUGGACUUUGGGGGACUUGCUGGCCUGCAGUCAGCUCCUCUUGAAUGAAUCAGCUUGCCAGUGUUUGGUGGCAUCGCAGGUGUGAUAACUAUCUACGCUUGUGGUUCUCCACCAGGUAACCUUCAGUGAUGAAGGUUCGCUGGGGCUCAUAAACGUCUCUCCUCGGUGAGGACAGUUCUUUGAAC
rnacentral:misc_RNA from 1 species